GAGGAAAAGAGCAUAUUUCCUGGUGUAUGUUAAGUACAAAAUACAUGCUAAUUCCUUUUUUUCUUUUCUUAUUUAUUCUCUAUGUAUUAGGUGAGAGUUGAGAGAGGACACUGAGUAGAAAUGGAAAUGAGAAGAUGAAUUAAUGUGAAAAAAAUUGUGGCAACACAUUGUUAAACUAUUGUUCUAUUUCGUUAAUGCAAAGAGGAAACAUAAUAACAAACUUAUUAGAUGUUUGCUCAUUAAUCUCACCAUGGCAUAUUAAAUUGCCUGGUGGAAAUGUCAUAUCUACUAUUCACAAAAGAAAUAUUACUGCAUAUAAUUUGGAUGCAUUCGGAAAACUCCCUGCUUCAGCUUGUUAGAAAAAAUUCACAGAGCUGGAACACUCUCAAGGCAGAUAAUGGUACGGAUAAAGAUGAAACAUCCAAUUGCAGAUAUGAAUGACCUAAUUCAAUGGAUGAGUCUGGAAGAGGACCAAGUUCAUGGGAAAGAUCAAAAAUUCGGUUUUGAAGAUGUUGAUGAGAAGAUGAGACAAAACCAUGUAUAGAUGUGGAUGAGCUAAUUAAAUAUAUGAGUCUGGAGCUGAAAGGAAAUGCCUUGACAAGAGAAGUAAAUUUGAGGACCAUCAGUAUACAGAUGUACUUGAAUCCAUCUGUGUAAAUGGAAUCACCCUGGGAGGAAAUUUAGAAUGAGAACAGGACUGCGUGGAAAGACAUUAAAGAAGUUAAAGAAAGAAGAACUAACAAAGGCAGGAGAGAAGAAGAGGACGGAGAGGUAGGAGAGAAAUCAGUAAUGUGCGAUGGCAUAGAAAUUAAGGUAUGAGUAUUUCAAGAACAAGAUAUUAAUGGUAUUGAAUACUACUGAAAGGCCAAUCAUGACGAGAAUAGAAAAACUGCUGAUUUCACUAUUUGGCAGUGGGUUCACUGACUUCCUCAUCUGCAAUGACUUCUCUUGAUCUCACCUCCACCGUCUACUCCAAGGGCCACCUUGGAUCUUAGGAUCUAAUUCACUCCUGUGCCCAAAUCACUUUUCUAAAGUGAUUUGUAUUUUCAGGUUACAUGUUCAACUAUUUUUAGCACAGCCAUUGUAACAUAUAAUCGUGGUUGUCUGUUACGUGUCCAUUUAUUACUAUCUUCUGAUUUUGUCCUGUUUUCUUCUACUUCCUUGUAUAACACUCCACCAAUAUCCCACUCACCUCCACUUUUAUUAAGCCCACAUGACAAAAUUUAACUCUGGAUUUGGCCAGGUAUGCAUUCUUUCCAUGCUAUUCUGACUCAGCUUAGUACUAUUGAAGACUUAAGUCACAAAACUGGGGAGAUUAUACAAAACAUUCUUGACCACCAACUUCAUCUGAGAUCUCAACAAUGCCUGUCAAUUUUACCAUGCUUCUCUGGAUAGUUCAUUUUCCUACUUUCUAUAAAAGCACACAGUAGGAGCACAAUGAAAUUCUUUUCCUUAGCCAAAUACCACAUGUUCUCACUUAUAAGUGAGAGCUAAUUGAUGAGAACACAUGGACACAUAAAGGGGAACAACACACAAUGGGGCCUAGUGGAGGGUGGAGAGCAGGAGAAGGGAGAAGAUCAGGAAAAUAACUAAUGGGUACUAGGCUUAAUACCUGGAUGAUUAAAUAAUCAGUACAAAUAAACCUAUGACACAAGUUUACCUAUAUAACAAACCUGUACAUGUAUCCCUGAACUUAAAAGUUAAAUUAAAAAGAGGAAAAAAUUUUUUUCAUUAAUGAAAGUUUUGCAAUAUUUCUCUGUUCUCCUAAAAAUUACCACUGGCAAAUGACUCUUUCGUUCUUAAAAGACAAUUCUGCCUCCUACUUCAUUUCCAUCAGAUAAGAAUCAGUCAACUGCUUGCCAACAAACCUAAAAACCUUCCUCCAUUACACUCAUCUUUCCUCUUUUCCUCUAGUUUCAACAGAGUAAGUGCCCUUCUGCAAUCCAAGGCCAAUGCUGUUGCAUAAACUUUUGAUCACAUUUAUUUUGUCCUUCAUAAAGCUCCAUUGUAUAAUUUUCCUUUUCCUCUUUGUAAUUUAAAUUUCAACUCUUUUUAUCAAUAAUUAAAAUGAUAAAACAUCCACUAUUUAAAAA
ensembl:lincRNA